UCACUCCGUGCAGCCAGCAGGGAGUGACAGCAGAGGCCCAAUAUGGGCAUUGUGGGUGGGGCUACCAAGGCCAGCAGGCUUCCCUGGUGGCAAGAUCCCUUUGCCAUGGCAACCAUCUGCACCACAGCACCCUCCGGCUCGCCGAGAAGCGCUCCAGGAAGAACAGCGGCAUUGCGGAGUUAGCAGCGUAGGCCGGUUCCAAAUGCCGGCCUCCAUCAUGUCGGCCUGCCGAGUCUCCUCAUGAGGACAGCAACGCCGGGACUUCCUGUCUGAUAUGUACGGAUGGCCCUCAGCGCACUCUCGCGCCCAGGCUGCCUCCGGAGCCAAGAAGUGCCUCUCUUCCAGCCCGCCCAGGAGGAGAGGCAGUGAGACUCAGAACUACAGGGGAGACAGUUAAUCUGCAGGCAAGCUGAGAUCUGGAGAAAAUCUCAAGAAAAAAUGAAUAAGCAUGUAAAAACACGUGGCAGCCUGAUCGUGUAGGGGCUGGGUACGUAAACCCAACUGCGGGGGCCUGGGUUGUCUGUAAGGCAUAGGAGUGAGCAUGUCUCCCUUCCAACCCACCUCUAUAUGGUUGUGAGAACAGGCUCCUAUUCUAUGCAAUGUGAGUAACCAAAUGCAAAUAAAAAAGCCUGCAGAUGCCCAUGGAAGGUGGUGAGAAUGGAGAAACAUAGCAAAAGAAACAAGUUUCUGAGAUGCUUCCCAUACAACCUAAAGGGCGGGCCAUGGUAAACAGUAUGCUUUGCAUGCAGAAGGUCUCAGUUCCCAAUUCUUGGCAUCUCCAGCUGAAAAAACUGCUCGAAGGAAAAAAGGGAGAAACAUGUGUCAUGAUUUCACAGGCAAGCUAGCCAUUCAAUGCUCUGCACAGCCCCUUCUGCAUCAGUUCUUGUACUCCUGAGCUUGAUCAUCAAAAGACGAUUAGACGUGUGGCCACAUGGCAAGUCAGCUUUCCAGAGUCGAGUAGUUCCAGAGUUGAGUGGUUCCUGGAAGAUAUUUCUAUGCAUAUCUUCCCAUACCUUUGGAAUGCACAUUAGUCAACCUAUAUGGAAAUAGUAAGUGAAUUGUAAACUCCUAACAUUGAUUUUCUCUCUCAAAAGUACUGUUUUGAUUUGUAAUUGUUACUAGCACCAUUCAUUGCAAUAGUUCUUUUGAGGGAGUAGGGAUUUGUCGACACAG